rnacentral:rRNA from 1 species
GACGAACGCUGGCGGCGUGCUUAACACAUGCAAGUCGAACGGAAAGGCCCUGCUUUUGUGGGGUGCUCGAGUGGCGAACGGGUGAGUAACACGUGAGUAACCUGCCCUUGACUUUGGGAUAACUUCAGGAAACUGGGGCUAAUACCGGAUAGGAGCUCCUGCUGCAUGGUGGGGGUUGGAAAGUUUCGGCGGUUGGGGAUGGACCCGCGGCUUAUCAGCUUGUUGGUGGGGUAGUGGCUUACCAAGGCUUUGGCGGGUAGCCGGCCUGAGAGGGUGACCGGCCACAUUGGGACUGAGGUACGGCCCAGACUCCUACGGGAGGCCGCAGUGGCGAAUAUUGCACAAUGGGCGGAAGCCUGAUGCAGCAACGCCGCGUGCGGGAUGACGGCCUUCGGGUUGUAACCCGCUUUCGCCUGUGACGAAGCGUGAGUGACGGUAAUGGGUAAAGAAGCACCGGCUAACUACGUG